AUUGAACGCUGGCGGCAUGCUUUACAUAUGCAAGUCGAACGGUAACAGGCCGCAAGGUGCUGACGAGUGGUGAACGGGUGAGUAAUGCAUCGGAACGUGCCCAGUCGUGGGGGAUAACGCAGCGAAAGCUGCGCUAAUACCGCAUACGAUCUAUGGAUGAAAGCGGGGGACCGUAAGGCCUCGCGCGAUUGGAGCGGCCGAUGUCAGAUUAGGUAGUUGGUGGGGUAAAGGCUCACCAAGCCAACGAUCUGUAGCUGGUCUGAGAGGACGACCAGCCACACUGGGACUGAGGCACGGCCCAGACUCCUACGGGAGGCAGCAGUGGGGAAUUUUGGACAAUGGGCGCAAGCCUGAUCCAGCAAUGCCGCGUGCAGGAAGAAGGCCUUCGGGUUGUAAACUGCUUUUGUACGGAACGAAACGGUCCGGGUUAAUACCCUGGGCUAAUGACGGUACCGUAAGAAUAAGCACCGGCUAACUACGUGCCAGCAGCCGCCGUAAGAC
rnacentral:rRNA from 1 species